UCUCGUUCAAGAAAUUAUUGCUCGCACCCGAUACACUUACAAAAUUUUCAUCACAUCUCAUAUCUCAAUUUUAUUAUUAAAUAAAUUACAAUCAUUGUUCAUGCUAGAAUUGUAUGGUUGAAUGCAGGUCGUACUUUUACACUUUAGUACCAUGUGGUUUAAAUUGUAUUAAUUUAGUACCAUGUGGCUUUAUUUUUCUCUUUUCGUCAGUUCCUCUGUUAACAUAUCGUUAAAUUAUACACAAAAAAACUUCAAAUGCCCCACCUAGGUUUAUCGAAUAUUUAUUUCAAUACCUUUUAGUUUUAACUUUGUCAAUGAUUUAACGAAAAAAAAUUAGUGGAAAAGAUAAUAAAAAGAGAAAAAUGAAACUACGGUGUACUAAAUCGAUACACUUUAUACCAUAGGAUACCAAAGUG
rnacentral:lncRNA from 1 species